CCUACGGGGGGCAGCAGUGGGGAAUAUUGGGCAAUGGGCGCAAGCCUGACCCAGCAACGCCGCGUGAAGGAAGAAGGCUUUCGGGUUGUAAACUUCUUUUAUCAGGGACGAAGCAAGUGACGGUACCGGAUGAAUAAGCCACGGCUAACUACGUGCCAGCAGCCGCGGUAAUACGUAGGUGGCAAGCGUUAUCCGGAUUUACUGGGUGUAAAGGGCGUGUAGGCGGGAGUGCAAGUCAGAUGUGAAAACUAUGGGCUCAACCCAUAGCCUGCAUUUGAAACUGUCCUUCUUGAGUGCUGGGGCGGCAAUCGGAAUUCCUUGUGUAGCGGUGAAAUGCGUAGAUAUACGGAGGAACACCAGUGGCGAAGGCGGCUUGCUGGACAGUAACUGACGCUGAGGCACGAAAGCGUGGGUAUCGAACAGGAUUAGAUACCCUAGUAGUC
rnacentral:rRNA from 1 species